UACGGAGGGGGCUAGCGUUAUUCGGAAUUACUGGGCGUAAAGCGCACGUAGGCGGAGCGGAAAGUCAGAGGUGAAUCCCAGGGCUCAACCUUGGAACUGCCUUUGAAACUCCCGCUCUUGAGGUCGAGAGAGGUAAGUGGAAUUCCGAGUGUAGAGGUGAAAUUCGUAGAUAUUCGGAGGAACACCAGUGGCGAAGGCGGCUUACUGGCUCGAUACUGACGCUGAGGUGCGAAAGCGUGGGGAGCAAACAGG
rnacentral:rRNA from 1 species